ACUGUUCUCCAGCUUUUCUCUAGAGUUCUGAGUGUAUUUUCCUGUUGUCUAGUGCCGGCUCGACCUUUGACCUGCUGUGUGAUCUUAGACAAGUCUCAUACUCUCUCUGAUUAUCCACUCCCAAUCUAUAGAAUGGGAGCAGGAAUGAGACGUUAAUAAUGGUCUCUAAGGCCACCUUCUAGCUCCGCCUUUGCAGGAUCCUGGGAGGAGGUUUCUGGUGUCAGCAAGUUCCAGCACCACAUGCUGCGAAUCUACCCAACGUUCUGUCUCAGAUGUGGCAUCAGGCUCCACCCCAGCGCCCGCUCUCUGCUGCGCACCCUACGAUAGUCGACUGCUGGGCAGUGCGCGACCGGAGCUGGGCGCCACCUUGGGCAUCUAUGGAGCCCCCUAUGCGGCCGCUGCAGCUGCCCAGAGCUACCCUGGCUACCUGCCCUAUAGCCCAGAGCCCCCCUCACUGUAUGGGGCACUGAGAUACAAAGGGUCAGAGAAAAGCUCCUGAAGAAGAGUAAAGCAGGAAGUGCCCCAGCUGAAUCCACAGUAUGAAUUUAAGGAGGCUGCAGGGAGUUUUACAUCCAGCCUGGCACAACCAGGAGCCUAUUAUCCCUAUGAGCGGACUCUGGGGCAGUACCAAUAUGAACGGUAUGGCGCAGUGGAAUUGAGUGGCGCCGGUCGCCGAAAGAACGCGACCCGGGAGACCACCAGUACACUCAAGGCCUGGCUCAACGAGCACCGCAAAAACCCCUACCCCACUAAGGGUGAGAAGAUCAUGCUGGCCAUCAUCACCAAGAUGACCCUCACCCAGGUGUCCACCUGGUUCGCCAACGCACGCCGGCGCCUCAAGAAAGAGAAC
rnacentral:sRNA from 1 species